rnacentral:rRNA from 1 species
GCAAGACUGAAACUCGAAGGAAUUGACGGGUCUCCGCACAAGCGGUGGAGCAUGUUGUUUAAUUCGAAGAUACGCGAAGAACCUUACCAGGUCUUGACAUCUUCUUGACCGCUCUAGAGAUAGAGUUUCCCUUCGGGGCAAGAAUGACAGGUGGUGCAUGGUUGUCGUCAGCUCGUGUCGUGAGAUGUUGGGUUAAGUCCCGCAACGAGCGCAACCCCUAUUAAUAGUUGCUAACAUUAAGUUGAGGACUCUAUUGAGACUGCCGGUGAUAAACCGGAGGAAGGUGGGGAUGACGUCAAAUCAUCAUGCCCCUUAUGACCUGGGCUACAAACGUGCUACAAUGGCCGGUACAAAGAGUUGCCAACCCGCGAGGGGGAGCUAACCUUUUAAAACCGGUCUCAGUUCGGAUCGAAGUCUGCAACUCGACUUCGUGAAGUUGGAAUCGCUAGUAAUCGUGGGUCAGCAUACCACGGUGAAUACGUUCUCGGAGAUUGUACACACCGCCCGUCAUACCACGAGAGUUUGUAACACCCGAAGUAAGUGGCCUAACCAAUUUAUUGGAGGGAGCUUCCUAAGGUGGGAUAGAUGAUUGGGGUAAAGUCGUAACAAGGUA